UNGCGGCAGGCCUAACACAUGCAAGUCGAGCGGCGCGCGGGGGGCAACCCUGGCGGCGAGCGGCGGACGGGUGAGGAACACAUCGGAAUCUACCUUGUCGUGGGGGAUAACGUAGGGAAACUUACGCUAAUACCGCAUACGACCUACGGGUGAAAGCGGGGGAUCGCAGGACCUCGCGCUAUUGGAGCGGCCGAUGUCAGAUUAGGUUGUUGGUGGGGUAAAGGCCUACCAAGCCUGCGAUCUGUAGCUGGUCUGAGAGGACGACCAGCCACACUGGGACUGAGACACGGCCCAGACUCCUACGGGGGGCAGCAGUGGGGCAUUUUGGACAAUGGGCGCAAGCCUGAUCCAGCCAUGCCGCGUGCGGGAAGAAGGCCUUCGGGUUGUAAACCGC
rnacentral:rRNA from 1 species